AUUUGCGUGAACAGCACUAGCUAAAAAAAAAAAAAUAAAACAAACAAAUAGAAAGGCUCCAUGGCUGUUGCUGCUCACUUCAGACUGUGCUGAAGGAGGUGGUGUGACGCUGAAGGCGAAGGCUGCUGCAGAACCGGACUGCAAGGUGAGAGUUCAGCACCGUCCCGACUGAUCAACGACGGCCAAAGCUCUUUUUUGCUUCUGUCCCCAGAGGGUGGGCCCUUUCCCAGCUGCAAAAAGCGGGGGGGGGGGGUGCCACAUCACCAUAAGCACCCCCCAUAAACUGGGCAGCGGUUUGGGUAGGAAGAAGCAGGGGCAAAGCAGGCGGGAGCCUUGCUCGCAGGUCUGGGCUGUGCGACAACUCCUCCGCCCGCGCGAGGCCGAAGCCCCGGCCGCCCGCCCGCGUUUUUUCCCUUAAUUUUCUCCCUGCCCGCUGGCAAGCGGCUCCGUCAGCUCCGGCAUCAUCUCUCCAUCCUGAGCAGAGCGAGAGCCGUGCCCCGGCGGGGAGGGGGGGGACGCGGGGGCCGAGCCGCGGGGGCUGGCGAGCCAAGCGGCGGCGAAGCCGAGCAGCCCCUUCCCAACGCCGCUGGGGAGCCCGGCAGCCCCCCGCCCCACCGGCCCCUCGCUCACCAUGCUGGAUAUUUUCAUCCUGAUGUUUUUUGCCAUCAUCGGCCUGGUGAUCCUCUCCUACAUCAUUUACAUGCUCUAGAGCGAUGCCGGGGGAGAUGCGGCUCAGCAUCAGCCUCGCAAUCGGAGCAUCGUCCAGCCCCCUCCCGGUCCGUCGCCCUCGGAGCCUUCUGGAAAAGCUUCGACCCCCCCGCCAGCAACCGGCCGCCCGACGCGCAGCGAGGGGCUCUGGGGGGGGGGGUGGGGGGCAAAGGAGGGAACUGGGGUGGCAGGGAGGGGGCUGCGAGGUGACGGCCCGCUGCCGAGCCGGGGGUUGUGCCCGGUGACGCCCGCGGCGUCCCGGGGGGAUGCGAAGGGUCCGGCCCCCCCGCUCCGCGUGGCUUAGCCCCUUGGGGCGCACGCUUCCCAGGUCGGUCGGUCGGGUUUGAAUUUAGAAAAGCACUUAUAUUUUUCACGAAAAACGUCGAAGGGAAUGAAAUAAAGAGGAGAGGCCCAGGAGA